rnacentral:ribozyme from 1 species
GCAUACGAGGCAGAACUGGCUGCCUUGCGGGCUAGGCAAGCCAAGGAUGCUACAGCUGUGCAGAAGACCCAGGAGCAUAGCACCAAGGCGCAGCAGCUGGAGAAACUCUGCGCCAAGAGCGAGGCCGAAGUUGCAGUGCUGGAGGCACAGCUCGCUGCAGAGGAGGAGGAGCUGCGAGCAUUGGA